GGCGGAAAUGAGCAUACAAUGGCUGGCAAAGAACAAUGCAUUUUAAGAUACAUAAGAGUUCAGUGUGUAGCAACUGUUGCAAUAUUUAACUAGCAAAUGAACACUUGAAUCUCUCCAUGGAAGGGCUACAGAACCACUGCAAUACAUUUCAAGUAACUAUAUGUCCUAUCUUUCAUUUCACGUGAAAAUGCUGGUAUUUAGCCAGAGCAUAAUAAAGCUCAAGCUGGAGGACAGCAAAUAAGGACAGGAGGCCAGACUGGUCUUCCACACAUUUGUAAUGUGUAUGAGGAUCAGCUGGAAUGAAAGGAGGCUUUUCAGAUUAAGAAAGACUAUCUACCUUGCUUUUAACUACUGCAGAGAAAAUGUCUUAACACCUAUCCUGCAUGGCUUCCUUGCUUCCACAUGCUGUUCUUUUUUAAAAGGGCACGGAAGCAUAUUUCCUCAGGAAUUUGAGCAUUUCAAUGGCUUGGAGCAACCAGCAGAGAGAAAAGACAGAGAGAAGAGUGGGUGUGUCUGUCCGUAAACAUGCAUGAAAAUAUCAGAGCUACACAAUGUUUUCCACGUGAAAGAAUAAACCAGGCUUCUGUGUGCUCAUUGGCUGUAACAAAUUUGCCAGAAUGGAUCAUAUCUCCAGCUGGUGUAAAUUAGAGAGGCACUACCGGCUUCAGCAAAGCUACGCCGAGUAACAGCAGCCUUGGAUCGGUGUCUUUAUUCAUGUGCCUGUAUCCAUAGUCUCAUGCAUUUAAACUAUUCCAUGGAACACGAAGUGUGAAUUUACAGAGUGCUUUUACCCUCAAAUGAAUAAAUAGCCUGAAGUACAAACUCACAACCCAAUAGUUUCCACCAGCACGCAUAUACUGUCUUGAACUAAUAUACCAUAAAAAGCAAGAAUCAACACAAAUUAAACAAGCUGGCCCAAAAAUGUUGGCAACUUGACUUGUAAACAAGCAUCAUGCUGUCCCACUUCAUUCCUGGUAUUAAUGUCUAGUUAAUGCAAGCAAUUGCAAGCAUGUCUAAGAAAUUAUGUUUAUCAUUGCCUCGAAAAAGGAAUUCUCUUUUGCAUCCCACAUCCUCUCAGACUUCUGUUUUCAGAAGGCCCUACUCACCCACCACAGCUCCCCUCUCUUGGCAGCACCAAUUGAGAGAGGAGUAUGGUAGCUUUGUUGCUGGGUACUCGAGUGUACUUUCUCUAAACAGAGAGUGAAAGCCUCACACUUGUCACCUCUUCCCCUCCAUACGUUCUCAGUCUCUACCGCUUAAGCUUCACCUCUGCUUUUCUCGUGGGCUCUUCUUCUGUUUCCUACCGCUAGAGCUCCACAAGCACAGCGGAAUACAGUUUCUCAACACUACAUUUGUGCACUAGAGAGAGAAAAAGGUGGCACCGACUGUUAAGCAGUGCACCAAAUGCUUUCCUGAUCUGCCAUCGAGACAUCCACAAAGCUUUUGGGCAACAGAGCUCUAGCAAGCAGUCUUCAGAGCCCUCAACAUGCCCACAACAGAAUCUCAUUGCCUUCACUGUAACCGGUCACGUUUCCAAAGGGUAUAUUCCGUGCCUUUCAGUGAUGUUACUUCAGAAAACAUCCUUCAAAAGACAUUGUUCUGCAUCGUGGCUGUGGCCAAAAAAAAUAAGCUUUUGACCCAGUUGAUCCAUUUACAUGAAUUUAAUGGAAUCUAUAAUCCCCCAAAACUGGCUCCUUUCCCAGAUUAUGUAUAAUUUGGGCUAAUCAUAGAAGAAAGCGAUCAGAGGUUAGCAGAAACACCCCUCAGAGGUAAGAGCAUUACUCUGUGAAUCCCCAUAAACUAACAUUUAGUUAGUUUGUUGCAUUUAGCUAUUGCAAUCUUUUCUGCUGUUUGUUUGAUGUUUAAUUUUCUACUGAACCUUGAGAAACCUGGUAGGACAUACAACAACACCCAUAAGUAAUCAUUUGUAGUUAGUUACUAUUAACACUGUCAG
ensembl:lncRNA